rnacentral:rRNA from 1 species
CCUACGGGUGGCAGCAGUAGGGAAUCUUUCACAAUGGGCGAAAGCCUGAUGGAGCAACGCCGCGUGCAGGAUGAAGGCCUUCGGGUUGUAAACUGCUUUUAUCAGCGAGAAAUAUGAUGGUAACUUAUGAAUAAGGAUCGGCUAACUACGUGCAAGCCGCCGCGGUCAUACGUAGGAUCCGAGCAUUAUCCGGAGUGACUGGGUGUAAAGAGUUGCGUAGGUGGCAUAAUAAGUAGCUAGUGAAAUCUGGUGGCUCAACCAUUCAGACUAUUAGCUAAACUGGUAAGCUCGAGACCGUUAGGGGUAACUGGAAUUUCUAGUGUAGGAGUGAAAUCCGUAGAGAUUAGGAGGAACACCAAUAGCGUAGGCAGGUUGCUGGGACGGGUCUGACACUAAGGCACGAAAGCGUAGGGAGCAAACGGGAUUAGAUACCCGAGUAGUC